rnacentral:tRNA from 1 species
AUUUAGAUAGCUUAUAAAAAGCUUAACAUUGAAGCUGUUAAGAAGAUCUUUAGAUCUCUAAAUA